UAUGGAUGACUAUUGCAGCUUUGGUGUACGACGUUGCAGUUGAGGCCCACUGCCCGGAUAGAGUCAUGAGGCAGUUCGAUCAACGCCAGUCUUUCCCUGUGUCUUCAGCGUUGGAUCGUGUUCAGCGCCAUGAUCAUAGUUUAUCAAGGGCUGGACAUCCUUUCUCGACAAUGUGGGUCACUAGAUUACAACCAUGGGUGGCUGCGUGGGAUGAUGCAGGCGAGCAGUUGGCUGAGGAUACCGGUCCACACACUGAGCCUUCGUUUCGGGCGUACCUGACCUGGAUCGCUAUGCACGACACAGGGAUGAGGCAUUAGCUGGGGCGUUCGAGGCCUGUAGGUUGCUUGAAUUAGAUUGCUCACUGAAUGUAAUGAGGAUUCAUGGCGAGUCUACGAUGAGCAUGCCGGCACAACUCGAGGCCUGGACCACUCAACGUG